GCCAGCUUACCCAAGUAGCUAAGGGGACGGCCUGCAGAGCCGUUGCCGAAAGGUAUCGUGGGUGCAAGUCCCACAGCUGGCUCCA
rnacentral:tRNA from 1 species